AUGCUGAGCAGGAAGGCACCAAAGAAAGCCUUUCUCCAAAGGGGAUGUUUAUUUCAGAGGCACACAGGGGGAAGCUCCACCAGCUGUUUUCCAGGAAAUCAUCCACUUCACCCAGGGUGGGGAUAUGGACAAGACAGAGUCCCGGCCUCCCUGGGAAACUGGUGUGAGGAAGUCCAGUCAGCAACACAACUGAGAGAGACCCCGCCGUGCCCAGUAGUGCCAGGCAUAGUGAAGUUAAGGUGAUGGGGAGGGGUGACCAUUGGAGGUGAAGGGACCUGAGAGUGGAGACCAGGACAGGGGAUGGGAAAGCCAAGUCCCUGAGGAAGGGAUGAGCUUAAUAAGUUUGAGGAACAGAAAGGAGGUGACUCCAGAAGGCUUGCCCACAGCUGGGUCUUACAAGGGAUGGAAGCCCUUAGACCUCGAGGAGGGAUCGUGUGGCCUCCUGAUUUCCGUUUUUAUAGGCAGCUUUGGAGGAUGGAUUAGCAGGAGAGGGAGGCGAGCGCUGGAGUAGGAAACCCAACUGGCAGCCGGUCCACCGCUGUCCAGCAAAUCCGGUGUUGACUCGGAAGGUCAGUGGAGACGGAGGGAGUUGAGAGAUGUGGGAUCUGCUUUGGAGGCAGAGACAACAGAAUGGGAGAAAGGAAUCCAGGAUGACGCCGACGUCUUGGGGUGAGCACAGCAGGGGGGGCAUGGUGAGGGGAGGAUCUGGGUCCUCUCUGGGAAGUUUCAAAUGAAGGAAGGACGAAGAACUUGGGGAUCAUAUUGGAUGUGUGUGUGUGUGUGUGUGUGUGUGUGUGGGUGGGUGGGUGUGUGUGUGGCGUGCGGAAGUUCCAGGGCCAGGGAUCAAACCCAUGCCACUGUUGUAACGAGAGCCACAGCAGUAACAAUGCCGGAUCCCCAACCCUGCUGAGCCACCAGGGAACUCCACGUUGGCACUGUCUAAUGUUAAUAAUUAUACAUGCAGAAUAGCGAACAAAUCAGCAUCCAGCUUGAUAAAUUUUCCCAAAGUGACAGAUCCCGGUAAUCAGCACCCCAAAAGUCCCUCUGUGCCCCCUCCAUUCUUCUUUCCCCAAGGUCACCAUUGUCCCAGCCUGACAUACUUUUUAUUGACAUUUGAAAACCUAUGAUUAAGAGAUAAUAAUCAGAGGUAAGCGUGGGGUAUUUGCUUAUGUAAUUCUCAGAAAAAUACCUCCCUUGUUUUUGUAGACUCGGGUUUUGUUCUGCCAUGAGUCAUUUCGAGGUUUGCUGGAGUGUCUUUUUCUCCUUCAUCCCACAGGAGGCGCUGCUGAGGAGUGUGAGUGAGGUCCCGCCUGACCCCAGCUAGUGGGCUGCUGCCUUCUUCUGGCUUCCGUGAGUCAAAGGGACAUGAAAACCACAACAUGAGGUUUAACUGCGAAGCCCCGCUCCCCGCCCAUCCCCUUCGCCUCUUGAGUUUCAUUUUACUGGUCCCGUCCCAACAGAUGGCUCUUCUUAAAGCAGCAUCGCCAGUGUGUAAUUCUUCUUAAUGACAGGAGAGCCAAUUUUAUUCUCUCCUGGAAAUUAAUUUCUCUUCCAUUUCUCUCUUCCCCUCCA
ensembl:lncRNA